GGAAAUUGGAAGAGGCUGUGGGUAUUUGCACAAAUGUGCUGCAGAAGGGAGAAUAACCUGCGAAUAAGAGUUAACUGGGCUCUGGUGUGCCUCCUUUUGGGUAUAAAAGGCCUGGAAAUGCUUUAUUUUUUCUUUGCUUGCUUGUCAUGAGGGGAAGAACAGAGACAGAAAACUGGGAAGGGACCUGUCCUUUAUGGCUGUGGCCAAUAGGUGCUUGUAUGUUGGUUCUCUCGUUGGCUCUGAAAGCAGAUGGUGACAAAAGCAAUGAACCCAAAAGAUCUAUCAGAGAUGGACUACAGAAGUGGAGUUAUGGGUUCCUCGUCAUGGCCAAGCAAACCCUCUGUAUUGGCUGGAGCUCUAAAGGAAUCUGAGCAGAUUUUUUUGAGGAUCAUCUAGCCUGUUCGAACACCCACCCUUCUCACUCUGACAUUUUAACAGUUUUCUUUAAAUAUGAAGUUGUUUCAAACACUCUAAGUCUUGCACCAAGAAUUUCUGCGUAAGUCAAAUAGAGAUGCUUUAUUUGUAGUGGACUGAGUAAAGUUGUGAUGAAUUCUUUUAUUAUGGACAAACUUAUGGUCUUCCCACCAUCUCCUGGAAGUGCCCUGAUUUUACAACGUACACCCCUGGGGCAGAAGGUAUUUAGCAUGUUAAAGUUGAGUGCUAGUUCUGUUUUUAAAUUUAAAAAAUGUUUGAGGAAGAGCCAAAGGGUGUACUCUGGUAUGAAGGAAUGAUGAGCAGCAGCCAAGGAACACAGAGGUGCUUUGGCUUUGCUGCCUGGUUCUCUGGUAUAAUUGUGUAUCGGGGCUCUCCUGUAGAUGUGGGAUCUGCCUCCAGGGCAGAUGCAGCUCAUCCAUGGGAAAGAAUACUUCUCUGUUGCAGCACUGUUGACAUUAGGCACAAUACCUUAUUUUUUUGAGAGAUGGUGGGGCUAGAGGGAAAUGAUGCAGCUUCCCGAAAUAGUGGGUGAAGCUGAAGUCAACAGGUAGUCUGGUGCUUUGGCACCCACGGCCUCCAAGGACUGUCAUUCAGUCCCUGAUGCAAGCUGGUGCCUCUGGAAUGAUGGUCAGGGCAUGAACAUAAAUCCUGCUGUCAUCAGUCUGGCUGAUGGAUGUAGGAGCAGCUGUGCUGCCAUAGCCCACCAAUGCCAGUGGGAUGGCUAGAGAAGGGCCCUGGUGGUAAGCAGUACCCAGGCUCAGCCUUCUCUUGCCUCAUGUCACUUAACCCAGCUCUUUCACCUUGUUGUAUGGUCAGCUUGUGGAAUAGACUAUGACUGUUUGUAAAAGUCCUAUCUGAAUUCACAUUGAUCAUGUUGCCCUAAUAUGGGACUGUCCCACUGCAUAGAAAUA